rnacentral:rRNA from 1 species
CUUGUGCCAGCAGCCGCGGUAAUACAGAGGUCUCAAGCGUUGUUCGGAUUCAUUGGGCGUAAAGGGUGCGUAGGCGGCACGGUAAGUCGGGUGUGAAAUCUUGGAGCUUAACUCCGAAACUGCAUUCGAUACUGCCGUGCUUGAGGACUGGAGAGGAGACUGGAAUUUACGGUGUAGCGGUGAAAUGCGUAGAUAUCGUAAGGAAGACCAGUGGCGAAGGCGGGUCUCUGGACAGUUCCUGACGCUGAGGCACGAAGGCCAGGGGAGCAAACGGGAUUAGAUACCCCGGUAGUCCUGGCAGUAAACGGUGCACGUUUGGUGUGGGAGGAUUCGACCCCUUCUGCGCCGGAGCUAACGCGUUAAACGUGCCGCCUGGGGAGUACGGUCGCAAGAUUGAAACUCAAAGAAAUUGACGGGGGCCCGCACAAGCGGUGGAGUAUGUGGCUCAAUUCGAUGCAACGCGAAGAACCUUACCUGGCCUUGACAUGCAUCUCUAAGUUGGUGAAAGCCAGCGAGUCCCGAAAGGGACGAUUUGCACAGGUGCUGCAUGGCUGUCGUCAGCUCGUGUCGUGAGAUGUUGGGUUAAGUCCCGCAACGAGCGCAACCCCUGUGAACUGUUGCCACGGAACCGAGAGGUUCCAGCACUCUGUUCAGACUGCCCCGCUCUAACGGGGAGGAAGGUGGGGACGACGUCAAGUCAGUAUGGCCCUUACGGCCAGGGCUGCACACGUACUACAUGCCCAGUACAGAACGAUCCUAGACCGCGAGGUGGAGGAAUCACUAAAACUGGGCCCAGUUCAGAUUGAAGUCUGCAACUCGACUUCAU